UCAGAAUAUAACACUUGUAACACAAGAUAAAAAAAGACCAAUAAAAAUGAAGCAUUGGCAAUUAAUACAUUUUUUGAUGAUAAAUACCUGUUUGAUAUUUAAUGUAGUUUUAGAUAGCAUCUCUGGCCAGCAGCUCUGCAGAUUGUGAGUACUAUUGUUGAUUUGUGUUCCUUUUUGUAAUUUAGUGUAGUCUUCUUUAUUAUUAUUAUAGUGAUUAUUGAUUGUGAUUUAUUGAACAUAUUAGUUAUCACAAGUUUUAUUUAUUUAUUAUUUAUUUCAUUGUAGGCGUAAGGCCAACGCACAACGGUCAUAAGGACCUUGUGAGUAUAAAAUAGUCAUUAUCGUACGGGUAUUUGUUGUUUUAUAUUAUGGGUAAAUCAUUAAAUAAUUAAACUAUCUUUAAUUUUGUGUUAUCUGUUCAAUGUCAUUUUAAUAAUAAUUAUUAUCUAGUCAAAUUUGUUUAAUUUAGUUACUACGUCUUAUUAUUGAAUUUAUACUAUUAUUCUUUAUAUUGUUCUUUUAAUUAAUUUACAUAAUUUUACACCAUUGUUCUUGGAGUUAUUUUAUACAUAUUGUUUAUUACUAUAAUUACUUUAAAGAAAGAGUUGAGAAUCAUUUAUAAUUGGAAGAAUCAUACUCAUUUGUUAUUGAUUUAUUAAAGUUAUAUAGUUCAUUGUUGUUGUUAUUCUGUUAUAGCCUUAGAGUGCAUAUUUAUAUUGUUGGUUGAGCCAAAAGGGCUAAAUUUAUCUUGUCAAGUCGUUUAUUAAAUUAUUAUUAUUAAUUGUAGUAAAAAGUUUAAAUUAUUUAUUUAUUUAGUUUGAUAGCACACACUUAUAUAAUUACACACUAACACAUCUGUCACUACAUAGAUCACUGGUUGCUGCGCAGGGGACCCCUCCCACCUACAGUGAUUCUAUUUACAUACACCACACUACGCAGCCUGAUCGGUAUUGGUGCAACUAGCCGGUUCGGGUACGCACUAUAAUAUUUAGUGCCCCUGGCCCCAACAUGUACUAUAAUUUAAAAUCAAAAAACUACUAAUCAGGAUAUAAUUAAAGAAAUAAGAGUUAAUCUUGCUUUUGGAAUAAUCCACCAAUUGCCUAUUUAAAAAAACAAAA